rnacentral:rRNA from 1 species
UAGUCCACGCUGUAAACGAUGUCUACUUGGAGGUUGUUGUCUUGAAUGAUGGCUUUCGGAGCUAACGCGUUAAGUAGACCGCCUGGGGAGUACGGCCGCAAGGUUAAACUCAAAUGAAUUGACGGGGGCCCGCACAAGCGGUGGAGCAUGUGGUUUAAUUCGAUGCAACGCGAAGAACCUUACCACACUUUGACAUGUAAAUCGUCGCUCUGUGAAGGCAGGAGCUUCAGUUCGGCUGGAUUUAACACAGGUGUUGCAUGGCUGUCGUCAGCUCGUGCCGUGAGGUGUUGGGUUAAGUCCCGCAACGAGCGCAACCCUUGUCUUUAGUUGCCUAUCAUUAAGUUGGGCACUUUAAAGAGACUGCCGGUGACAAACCGGAGGAAGGUAAGGAUGACGUCAGGUCAGCAUGUCCCUUAUGCUCUGGGCUACACACGUGCUACAAUGGCCGUGACAAAGAGUUGCUACUUUGUGAAAACAAGCUAAUACUCAUAAACGCGGCCUCAGUUCGGA